AUGCUGACGAGUGGCGAACGGGUGAGUAAUACAUCGGAACGUGCCCGAUCGUGGGGGAUAACGGAGCGAAAGCUUUGCUAAUACCGCAUACGAUCUACGGAUGAAAGCAGGGGACCGCAAGGCCUUGCGCGGACGGAGCGGCCGAUGGCAGAUUAGGUAGUUGGUGGGAUAAAAGCUUACCAAGCCGACGAUCUGUAGCUGGUCUGAGAGGACGACCAGCCACACUGGGACUGAGACACGGCCCAGACUCCUACGGGAGGCAGCAGUGGGGAAUUUUGGACAAUGGGCGAAAGCCUGAUCCAGCCAUGCCGCGUGCAGGAUGAAGGCCUUCGGGUUGUAAACUGCUUUUGUACGGAACGAAAAGACUUCUUCUAAUACAGGAGGUCCAUGACGGUACCGUAAGAAUAAGCACCGGCUAACUACGUGCCAGCAGCCGCGGUAAUACGUAGGGUGCAAGCGUUAAUCGGAAUUACUGGGCGUAAAGCGUGCGCAGGCGGUUAUAUAAGACAGAUGUGAAAUCCCCGGGCUCAACCUGGGAACUGCAUUUGUGACUGUAUAGCUAGAGUACGGUAGAGGGGGAUGGAAUUCCGCGUGUAGCAGUGAAAUGCGUAGAUAUGCGGAGGAACACCGAUGGCGAAGGCAAUCCCCUGGACCUGUACUGACGCUCAUGCACGAAAGCGUGGGGAGCAAAC
rnacentral:rRNA from 1 species